CUCAGGAAGAAUUUAAUUUUGGUUCUGAUUGAACGUUUUUCAGUAGUUUUGAGACAUGCAAAUCGUUGUUCUUAAAAGUUUUAUGUUAAAGAUUAAUAAAUAUAAAAAUUUAUUAUAAUUAAUUUAAGACCAAUAAGAAUAAGGUGUAAAGGUGAGUAUUGUAAAUCAGAUACCUUAUAGUCUCCUUAAUUCGGGGAUAUUUUUACCUAAUUAAAAAUAAAUUUUAAGUUAAUUUUAUUAAUUAUAAAUUUAUCUUAGCGGUGAGCUUAUAAUAAUUAUUUUUAUAAUUAUAAUUAGUCAAGUUUAAAUUUAAUUUUAAAUUUAAGCAUAUACUUCGUAAUUAGGUACAAGGAUAAUUAAGCUAUUUAUCAAUAAAGGAAAGUUUCUGCUAUAAGAUUCGAUUUAUUUUGUUUAAUGGUAGUUGGUAGGGUAACGGCCUACCAAGCCUACGAUCAAAAGCCAAGUUUGAUAGAACAGAUGGCCACAUUGGGAAUGAAAAGCCCCAAGUAGUUUAAACUACCAGCAGUCAAGAAUAUUAGUCAAUGCUCGCAAGAGUGAACUAGCUAACUGAAAUCAUAUUAAGCAUAAGUGUGUAAGAUAUGAUAAGGUAAGGGAAAAAACUGAUGUUACCUUACUAUUAGUGUUGUCCAAAGCUGGUGCCAGAAGACUCGGUAAGACCAGAAACGCGAACGUUAAUCGUCCUAAUCAGGCGUAAAGGGUUUGUAGGCUGCUUUUUAUUUGUCUAUUUAUUAUAGCUCUGAAUUUUUAAAUUUAAAUUUAAAUUUAUUUAUUGUUUUAUUCAGGUAAAUAGAAAACAAGAAAAGCUAGAAUCAAAUAGAGGAUAAGUCAUAGAAUACCUAGAGUAGGGAUGAUAUCCACAGAUACUAGGUGGAAUACUAACGGUGAAAACUAUUAUCUACUAAUGAUUGACGCUGAGAAACGAAGGUGAGAAGAGGAAAUAGGAUUAGAUACCCAGAUACCUCUCACUGUCAACGAUGAAUGGUGGUUGUUAGUUUUUAAAAAAAUUGAUAGCGAUGUUAACGCGAUAACCAUUCCGCCUUGCGAGUACGGUUGCAAAACUGAAACCAAAAAAAUUAGUCGGUCUCGAAGCAAACGAAGUGGAGCAUGUUAUUUAAUACGAAAGUACGCGUAAAAUCUUACCAGAACUUGCAUAGCCAUUUUUAAAUUAAAGUUUUACUGUCUAUCUGCAAUUUUUGCUUUUUUAUUACUACUAAAAAUAGUAACAAUAGAGUAGGGAUAGCUUUUUUGUUGGUUUCUUUAAGGGAUCAAUAACAAAUAAAAAGGGAGAUAGGAAAAGUUUCAUGGAUAAAUGAGUAGUAAUCUAAUCGAUAAAUUCUUAGAUUAUUCGUUUACAGGUGUUGCAUGGCUGUCGUCAGUUCGUGUUUUGAGAAGUUAGGUUAACUCCGCUAACGGACGCAAUCCCUUUUGUUAAUUUAUACUUAACAAUUAGUGAAAUUUAUAUAAUUUCAUUUGGGGCUAAGACAAGUCGUUAUGAUCCUCAUGUUCGGGGCUAUAGACGUGCUACAAAAACUUUUACAAAGUGAUGCAAAAACCAGACCCUUGUACUUUUUAAAGUUAAUAUUUAAUAUUAUAUUAAAUAAUAGGGUUAUAAGGAAUAGCUAAUCAUUAAAGAAAGUUAAUUAAAUAAUAAUAGACGGAUUGUCGCCUGAAAUUCGGUGGCAUGAAGAAGGAAUUUCGAGUAAUCGUUGAUCAUUACGCAACGGUGAAGAUGGAAUUCGGGAUGAACUAACUGUCUGUCACUGGGAAGGAGCUUCAAUUAGGGGAAACUUUUUAAUCCACGAAGUUAGCACUUAAAUAAGGGUAUACACAUAUUAAUUAUAAAUGCAAAAAUAUUUUUAAUAUUUAAAUUUUAAUUUGUAAAAAAAUUGAAGUUAGUGUAGUUUAUAUGCUAUUUUAGAAUAUUUUUUAAUAUUAUAAAUAAAAAAAAAACACCUUUGUUAAACUAAUUAGUAUUAGUCAACCUAAUUAAGUAACAUUUCAAAAGUCAUAGCAAGGUAGUGGUACUGGAAAGUGCUGCUGGAAAAUAAAGUAU
rnacentral:rRNA from 1 species